rnacentral:rRNA from 1 species
UACGAAGGGGGCUAGCGUUGUUCGGAAUCACUGGGCGUAAAGCGUAUGCAGGCGGAUCGCUAAGUCAGGGGUGAAAUCCCGAGGCUCAACCUCGGAACUGCCUUUGAUACUGACGAUCUUGAGUCCGGGAGAGGUGAGUAGAACUGCGAGUGUAGAGGUGAAAUUCGUAGAUAUUCGCAAGAACACCAGUGGCGAAGGCGGCUCACUGGCCCGGUACUGACGCUGAGAUACGAAAGCGUGGGGAGCAAACAGG